UACGUAGGGCGCAAGCGUUAUCCGGAAUUAUUGGGCGUAAAGAGCUCGUAGGCGGUUUGUCGCGUCUGCCGUGAAAGUCCGGGGCUCAACUCCGGAUCUGCGGUGGGUACGGGCAGACUAGAGUGAUGUAGGGGGAGACUGGAAUUCCUGGUGUAGCGGUGAAAUGCGCAGAUAUCAGGAGGAACACCGAUGGCGAAGGCAGGUCUCUGGGCAUUAACUGACGCUGAGGAGCGGAAAGCAUGGGGAGCGAACAGG
rnacentral:rRNA from 1 species